rnacentral:rRNA from 1 species
GAUGAACGCUAGCGGCAGGCCUAACACAUGCAAGUCGAGGGGUAACAUUGGUGCUUGCACCAGAUGACGACCGGCGCACGGGUGCGUAACGCGUAUACAAUCUACCUUGUACUGGAGAAUAGCCCAGAGAAAUUUGGAUUAAUGCUCCAUAGUAUGUCGACCUCGCAUGGGGAUGACAUUAAAGGUUACGGUAUAAGAUGAGUAUGCGUCCUAUUAGCUAGAUGGAGUGGUAACGGCACCCCAUGGCAACGAUAGGUAGGGGCCCUGAGAGGGGGAUCCCCCACACUGGUACUGAGACACGGACCAG